rnacentral:lncRNA from 1 species
GUUGUAGUCCGGGCCCUGCCGGAGAGGUGGCCGUGCAGGUACUCGAUUCCCAGACGCCUUCGCGCGCCCCUUGGCCAUUUCGGCCUGGGCGCCAUGGGCCGCAGUGAGAGCAGCUGAGGAGCCCCCGUGCGGAAAAAGUUGUGCUGACAGAUCUGGGUUUGCAGGAUAUGAAGAGCACUCAGGUCGGACGCCUUCCUUUACUGCCACACAGGGUCUUUGGAGCAAGUGACCCAGUACCUCUCCUAGCUGGAGAAAGGGCUCAGGAUUCCUCCCGAUAGAGAUCUCUGUGAGGAUGUCAAAGAGGAAAUCAGGACUAUCGCCUCACUGGGUAAGGACCUAUUUUUCUUUUUCUCUGUUCAUUCUACUGAUGUGGACAGGGGUGCCUCCAAUCGUUAAAUCAUAGUAAUUAUGGAAUUUGUUA